UCUGGGUUAGAACACUACAGCGUCUUAGCCCCUCUACUUUCCUCUAUUUUCUCUCAACAAUGCACAGCAAACGAAAGAUCGCGAAAAUUCUUUUACUGUAGUGCCACAUUCUCUCGCUGUUUCGCUCGCUUGGAGAAAAGUGGAAGGGAGGUUAACAAACGCUAGGAGCUACGGUUGGAGGAAAUAGGAGCAUGCGACAUCCUGCUGUGUUGCUUAGAAGUCCCGGAAUCGAAAUUCCAUCACAGCAGGGAGUCAGGGAGAGAUUAUGGAGACAUCAGAAUAAGAUUGCAUAAAAUAAUUAUUUUUAAAGAAGCUCAAAAUUAAGGCUCGGCAGAAAAGAGAUUAAUUUUGAAUAAAGACUCUCUAAAGAGAUGUCAACAAUUUGAAGUCAUCAGAAGUCUCCAAUUUGAACGCUAUCAAUGUUCAUUCUAUCUUUGUUUUACGUUUAAUGAAUGAUUAUUAUGAGCAUUUAUAGCAUAAGCCAUGAGCGUCCAAAUUAAACGCAGCUGAAAUUUAUAUGACUAAAUUAAAUAAAACUAAAGUUCUGU